CAUGGCUUGCAGAUUUAUGGGAUUUUGCAUACACAAGAGAAGAACAGUCUGCUACCAAGAUUUCCUGUGCAAUCACCAGAUACCAUCAUCAUCAGCCAUCACUGGAGACUGUUCCCAGCAGCUGUUCAUCUAAUUCAUCAGCAAGAACCAUAGAAUAUAUUCAACAAGAUUAUACUGCUUCAUUCUGCCCCUUCAGAGAAACAGAGGAAAAGUAGAGAAGUAGGAGAGGUAAGAACGC